UUCCGGUUGAUCCCGCCAGACCUGACUGCUAUCGGAUUGAUACUAAGCCAUGCGAGUCUUUGCAGUAAUGCAAGGCAUACGGCUCAGUAACACGUAGUCAACUUACCCUAUGGACGAGGAUAAUCUCGGGAAACUGAGCAUAAUACUCGAUAGAUCAUAAUGCCUGGAAUGGUUUAUGGUUGAAAUGAUUCGUCGCCAUAGGAUGGGACUGCGGCCUAUCAGCUUGUUGGUGAGGUAAUGGCCCACCAAGGCGAUUACAGGUACGGGCUCUGAGAGGAGAAGCCCGGAGAUGGGUACUGAGACAAGGACCCAGGCCCUAUGGGGCGCAGCAGGCGAGAAAACUUUGCAAUGUGCGAAAGCACGACAAGGUUAAUCCGAGUGAUUUCUGCUAAAGAAAUCUUUUGCAAGUCAUAAAACCACUAGUGAAUAAGGGGUGGGCAAGUUCUGGUGUCAGCCGCCGCGGUAAAACCAGCACCUCAAGUGGUCAGGAGGAUUAUUGGGCCUAAAGCAUCCGUAGCCGGCUCUGUAAGUUUUCGGUUAAAUCCAUGUGCUCAACGCAUGGGCUGCCGAAAAUACUGCAUAGCUAGGGAGUGGGAGAGGUAGACGGUACUCGGUAGGAAGGGGUAAAAUCCUUUGAUCUAUCGAUGACCACCUGUGGCGAAGGCGGUCUACCAGAACACGUUCGACGGUGAGGGAUGAAAGCUGGGGGAGCAAACCGGAUUAGAUACCCGGGUAGUCCCAGCUGUAAACGAUGCAGACUCGAUGAUGCAUUGGCAUAUAGCCAGUGCAGUGUCGCAGGGAAGCCGUUAAGUCUGCCGCCUGGGAAGUACGUACGCAAGUAUGAAACUUAAAGGAAUUGGCGGGGGAGCACCACAAGGGGUGAAGCCUGCGGUUCAAUUUG
rnacentral:rRNA from 1 species